rnacentral:rRNA from 1 species
GUACACUCCUACGGGAGGCAGCAGUGGGGAAUAUUGCACAAUGGGCGCAAGCCUGAUGCAGCCAUGCCGCGUGUAUGAAGAAGGCCUUCGGGUUGUAAAGUACUUUCAGCGGGGAGGAAGGCGAUAAGGUUAAUAACCUUGUUGAUUGACGUUACCCGCAGAAGAAGCACCGGCUAACUCCGUGCCAGCAGCCGCGGUAAUACGGAGGGUGCAAGCGUUAAUCGGAAUUACUGGGCGUAAAGCGCACGCAGGCGGUCUGUCAAGUCGGAUGUGAAAUCCCCGGGCUCAACCUGGGAACUGCAUUCGAAACUGGCAGGCUAGAGUCUUGUAGAGGGGGGUAGAAUUCCAGGUGUAGCGGUGAAAUGCGUAGAGAUCUGGAGGAAUACCGGUGGCGAAGGCGGCCCCCUGGACAAAGACUGACGCUCAGGUGCGAAAGCGUGGGGAGCAAACAGGAUUAGAUACCCGUGUAGUCCC